UAUCCAAGCAUUUUUGACUCAUCUUCUGAAAAACGUGCGUCACAAUAAGUGACAUUGAGAGAUAGUGCAAGCGCACCAGUGCCUGGUACCUAUUAUUACAGCUUCCUAGUUCUUUAGAAAAUUUUUUGUAUAUAAACAAUCGAUUUUCAGCCUUGUUUAUUCAGUGUUUUGGGGAAAAUUAUCCAGUUGAUUAUAUUACUCCCUCUCAACACAACUAUGUACACUUACGUGUUAAUUUUGCAACUCGUGGCUGUCUCUUCAGUCCUAGCGGUUGAGGGUGAAAUGUCUACAAC